rnacentral:misc_RNA from 1 species
GUAAAUCAAUAUAAAAAUUUCGAACUCGGCGGAUUGUCAGAAAGGACGACGUCUGUCUGUCUGUCUGCAUUGUAGUCAGUUAGUUAUGCUUCGACGAGGUCGGCCGGAUCGACGUUGGCGGGCUCGCUAUUAAAUAAAAAGCGAAUUCGCCAGUUAUCCGGUAAACGACGACGACGACGACACGUUACUUCGGGUACCUGGGAGAAGAGGUGACCACCACCUCUCUCCGCGGAAGGAAGCGGCGGCUAUUCGUUAGCCACCUCGUCCUCCGAGGUAUUGAAAGAUUUUCGCCCGACCGUCGAGGAAGCAGACGACGUGCCUCUCGCUCGACAUCCCAUAACGAAGGGCGAAAGGAGACUCGCGUCUUCGCCGCUAGCACACCGCGUCUGUACGUGAACAUGUGUAGUGCGUUAUAAAGCGGCGAAACUCGAACGUCUCCCUCUCCCUUUUUUUCAAUUUCAAACACUUGCCACCUUUCGAUACGUGAACGUCGCAAGAGGGACGCUUACGCGUCUCCUCGCGCCACGUCAAAAUCUUUAACGAUUACCCUGAACGGUGAAUCAC